CAGCCACAUCACAUUGAAACACCAGUUCCCAUAUGAUCACUAAAGUUAAGCAACAUCAAGCCUGGUCAGUACCUAGAUCAGUGACCACUUGGGAAUACUGGGUGUGGUAAG